rnacentral:rRNA from 1 species
CCCUUAGAUGUUCUGGGCUGCACACGCGCUACACUGGCAGGUUCAGCGAGCUUCUUGCCCUGAUCUGAGAAGAAUGGGAAACCUUUUCAACACCUGCCGUGCUUGGGAUAGAUGUUUGCAAUUAUUCAUCUUCAACAAGGGUUGCCUUGUAGGCGUGCCUCAUCAGGGCACAUCGAAUACGACCCUGUAUUCUGUACACACCGCCCGUCGCUCCUACCGAUUGAAGUUUUCGGUGAAUUUGCAGGAGGUUUGCUUUGAAACUGGUUCGCCAGUGGAUUUGUGGACCAAAUGCAUGUGAAUCGAUGGCUUUAGAGGAAGGAGAAGUCGUAACA